UACGUAGGGGGGCAAGCGUUGUCCGGAUUUAUUGGGCGUAAAGAGCGUGUAGGCGGCUUUACAGGUCCGUUGUGAAAACUCGAGGCUCAACCUCGAGACGCCGGUGGAAACCGUAAAGCUAGAGUCCGGAAGAGGAGAGUGGAAUUCCUGGUGUAGCGGUGAAAUGCGCAGAUAUCAGGAGGAACACCCUGGCGCAAAGCGGCUCUCUGGGACGGUACUGACGCGAGACGCGAAAGCGUGGGGAGCAAACGG
rnacentral:rRNA from 1 species